GGCCUGACGUGUUACGAAUGUUACUCUGCCCGGGAACCACAGCUUUGUACGUACCAUCGCAAUUGUGGCCAAAACGAGAAAUGUGGGAUACACAAGACACAGAACUUACUGGGAGCGACGGUGUAUCACCUGGAGUGUCUUCCUGACACGAUAUGCGAAGGUUCCGAAGCUCCGCCCACUUUUAUUGGAAGACGUAGGCGAGAUACGUACAAGGAAGUGACAUGUUGUGACACCGACUUAUGUAACCA